rnacentral:rRNA from 1 species
GGGACACGUGGUAUCCUGUCUGAAUAUGGGGGGACCAUCCUCCAAGGCUAAAUACUCCUGACUGACCGAUAGUGAACCAGUACCGUGAGGGAAAGGCGAAAAGAACCCCGGCGAGGGGAGUGAAAAAGAACCUGAAACCGUGUACGUACAAGCAGUGGGAGCACCUUCGGGUGUGACUGCGUACCUUUUGUAUAAUGGGUCAGCGACUUAUAUUCUGUAGCAAGGUUAACCGUAUAGGGGAGCCGCAGGGAAACCGAGUCUUAACUGGGCGUUAAGUUGCAGGGUAUAGACCCGAAACCCGGUGAUCUAGCCAUGGGCAGGUUGAAGGUUGGGUAACACUAACUGGAGGACCGAACCGACUAAUGUUGAAAAAUUAGCGGAUGACUUGUGGCUGGGGGUGAAAGGCCAAUCAAACCGGGAGAUAGCUGGUUCUCCCCGAAAGCUAUUUAGGUAGCGCCUCGUGAAUUCAUCUUCGGGGGUAGAGCACUGUUUCGGCUAGGGGGUCAUCCCGACUUACCAACCCGAUGCAAACUACGAAUACCGAAGAAUGUUAUCACGGGAGACACACGGCGGGUGCUAACGUCCGUCGUGAAGAGGGAAACAACCCAGACCGCCAGCUAAGGUCCCAAAGUCAUGGUUAAGUGGGAAACGAUGUGGGAAGGCACAGACAGCCAGGAUGUUGGCUUAGAAGCAGCCAUCAUUUAAAGAAAGCGUAAUAGCUCACUGGUCGAGUCGGCCUGCGCGGAAGAUGUAACGGGGCUAAACCAUGCACCGAAGCUGCGGCAGCGACACUAUGUGUUGUUGGGUAGGGGAGCGUUCUGUAAGCCUGCGAAGGUGACCUGUGAGGGUUGCUGGAGGUAUCAGAAGUGCGAAUGCUGACAUAAGUAACGAUAAAGCGGGUGAAAAGCCCGCUCGCCGGAAGACCAAGGGUUCCUGUCCAACGUUAAUCGGGGCAGGGUGAGUCGACCCCUAAGGCGAGGCCGAAAGGCGUAGUCGAUGGGAAACAGGUUAAUAUUCCUGUACUUGGUGUUACUGCGAAGGGGGGACGGAGAAGGCUAUGUUAGCCGGGCGACGGUUGUCCCGGUUUAAGCAUGUAGGCUGGUUAUCCAGGCAAAUCCGGAUAAUCAAGGCUGAGGUGUGAUGACGAGGCACUACGGUGCUGAAGUAACAAAUGCCCUGCUUCCAGGAAAAGCCUCUAAGCAUCAGGUAACAUCAAAUCGUACCCCAAACCGACACAGGUGGUCAGGUAGAGAAUACCAAGGCGCUUGAGAGAACUCGGGUGAAGGAACUAGGCAAAAUGGUGCCGUAACUUCGGGAGAAGGCACGCUGGUGUGUAGGUGAAGCCCCUGCGG